GNGGGUGCUACCAUGCUCNCGAGNGAUCUCUUCGGAGAGAGCGNCGGACGGGUGAGUAACGCGUGGGUAACCUGCCCUGUACACACGGAUAACAUACCGAAAGGUAUACUAAUACGGGAUAACAUANGAAAGUCGCAUGGCUUUUGUAUCAAAGCUCCGGCGGUACAGGAUGGACCCGCGUCUGAUUAGCUAGUUGGUAAGGUAAUGGCUUACCAAGGCAACGAUCAGUAGCCGACCUGAGAGGGUGAUCGGCCACACUGGAACUGAGACACGGUCCAGACUCCUACGGGAGGCAGCAGUGGGGAAUAUUGCACAAUGGGCGAAAGCCUGAUGCAGCAACGCCGCGUGAGCGAUGAAGGCCUUCGGGUCGUAAAGCUCUGUCCUCAAGGAAGAUAAUGACGGUACUUGAGGAGGAAGCCCCGGCUAACUACGUGCCAGCAGCCGCGGUAAUACGUAGGGGGCUAGCGUUAUCCGGAAUUACUGGGCGUAAAGGGUGCGUAGGUGGUUUUUUAAGUCAGAAGUGAAAGGCUACGGCUCAACCGUAGUAAGCUUUUGAAACUAGAGAACUUGAGUGCAGGAGAGGAGAGUAGAAUUCCUAGUGUAGCGGUGAAAUGCGUAGAUAUUAGGAGGAAUACCAGUAGCGAAGGCGGCUCUCUGGACUGUAACUGACACUGAGGCACGAAAGCGUGGGGAGCAAACAGGAUUAGAUACCCUGGUAGUCCACGCCGUAAACGAUGAGUACUAGGUGUCGGGGGUACCCCCCUCGGUGCCGCAGCUAACGCAUAAGACCCGCCUGGA
rnacentral:rRNA from 1 species